UUCUGUGUUGGUGCAAUGUACUCAGGUGGAUAAGAUGCUUGUGAUGUUACACUCAGAGUAACAUCACAAGCCUCUUAUUCACCUGAGUACAUUACACCAACACAGAA